UACGGAGGGGGCUAGCGUUGUUCGGAAUUACUGGGCGUAAAGCGCACGUAGGCGGCUUUGCAAGUUAGAGGUGAAAGCCCAGGGCUCAACCCUGGAAUUGCCUUUAAAACUGCAUCGCUAGAAUUGUGGAGAGGUAAGUGGAAUUCCGAGUGUAGAGGUGAAAUUCGUAGAUAUUCGGAAGAACACCAGUGGCGAAGGCGACUUACUGGACACAUAUUGACGCUGAGGUGCGAAAGCGUGGGAGC
rnacentral:rRNA from 1 species